rnacentral:tRNA from 1 species
GUCGUUCUAGUUUAAAUAAAACCUCUGUCUUGCACACAGAUAACGGGGGUUUACCCCCGAAUGACU